GCCGGGCGUGGUGGCGCAUGCCUGUAGUCCCAGCUACUCGGGAGGCUGAGGCAGGAGAAUCGCUUGAACCUGGGAGACAGAGGUUGCAGUGAGCUGAGAUUGUGCCACUGGCCACUGCACUCCAGCCUGGGUGACACAGCAAGACUCCGUCUCAA
rnacentral:SRP_RNA from 2 species